CCUACGGGAGGCAGCAGUGAGGAAUAUUGGUCAAUGGGCGGAAGCCUGAACCAGCCAAGUAGCGUGCAGGAUGACGGCCCUACGGGUUGUAAACUGCUUUUAUACGGGAAUAACGCGCCUUACGUGUAGGGCUUUGCAUGUACCGUAUGAAUAAGGACCGGCUAAUUCCGUGCCAGCAGCCGCGGUAAUACGGAGGGUCCGGGCGUUAUCCGGAUUUAUUGGGUUUAAAGGGCGCGUAGGCCGCAUGUCAAGCGUGCUGUGAAAUGUCCGGGCUCAACCCCGGCCUUGCAGCGCGAACUGGCUGGCUUGAGUCCGCGGAAAGCAGGCGGAAUUCGUGGUGUAGCGGUGAAAUGCUUAGAUAUGACGAAGAACCCCGAUUGCGAAGGCAGCUUGCUGCAGCGGAACUGACGCUGAUGCUCGAAAGCGCGGGGAUCGAACAGGAUUAGAUACCCGAGUAGUC
rnacentral:rRNA from 1 species